CCAUUCUCUCAUGCGAAAAUUCUAUGACGUCCACUCGCUGCCGUGACUCGCUGCCGUGCCAGCCCUUCGUCAGAGUCAUGCCACGGUCAGUCCGACGCCCCUAUCCAUGCCGUCAACCUCUACCAUGCCCACCGCGCCACCGUGACCAGUUGAAAAGGGAAUUCCACGAUGUCAAGCUGAUUGCAUGCUACACAUCCCUUGCCCUCAAACUCGAGAUUUGUUAACAUGGACAAUAGGUCCAUAUAGGAUGCAAAUGUAUUUCUACUGAAUUAUUUUCAAAAUCCUCUCCAGGUGCGCAUUUUACUGAUUUACUUUUUUGGUUGGUUGAUUAAUAAGUUCAUAAUAUUUUUCUCCAAUGAUGCGGCACAUGAAGA